rnacentral:rRNA from 1 species
AUACGGAGGGUGCGAGCGUUACUCGGAGUCACUGGGCGUAAAGCGUCCGUAGGCGGUCGGGUAAUUCGGGUGUGAAAGCCCCGGGCUCAACCUGGGAAGUGCACCCGAUACUGCUCGACUCGAGUGCGGGAGAGGAUGGCGGAAUUCCCGGUGUAGCGGUGAAAUGCGUAGAGAUCGGGAGGAACACCAGUGGCGAAGGCGGCCAUCUGGCCCGCAACUGACGCUGAGGGACGAAAGCGUGGGGAGCAAACAGGAUUAGAUACCCUAGUAGUCC